UACGAAGGGGGCUAGCGUUGUUCGGAUUCAUUGGGCGUAAAGGGUGCGUAGGUGGUAAGGUAAGUUGGAUGUGAAAUCUCGGGGCUCAACCCCGAAACUGCAUUCAAUACUGCCUUGCUGGAGUACUGGAGAGGAGAUUGGAAUUUACGGUGUAGCGGUGAAAUGCGUAGAUAUCGUAAGGAAGACCAGUGGCGAAGGCGGGUCUCUGGACAGUUCCUGACGCUGAGGCACGAAGGUCAGGGGAGCAAACGGG
rnacentral:rRNA from 1 species